UAAAGAGAAGCUUGCUUCUCUUUCGGUUAGCGGCGGACGGGUGAGUAACACGUGGGCAACCUACCUUAUAGUUUGGGAUAACUCCGGGAAACCGUGGCUAAUACCGAAUAAUACAUUUCAUCUCCUGGUGGAAUGUUGAAAGAUGGUUUCGGCUAUCGCUAUAGGAUGGGGCCGCGGCGCAUUAGGUAGUAGGUGAGGUAACGGCUCACCUAGGCGACGAUGCGUAGCCGUCCUGAGAGGGUGAUCGGCCACACUGGGACUGAGACACGUCCCAGACUCCUACGGGAGGCAGCAGUAGGGAAUCUUCCACAAUGGGCGAAAGCCUGAUGGAGCACCGCCGCGUGAGUGAAGAAGGUUUUCGGA
rnacentral:rRNA from 1 species